GGACGGGUGAGUAACGCGUGGGUAACCUGCCUUGUACUGGGGGAUAGCAGCUGGAAACGGCUGGUAAUACCGCAUAAGCGCACAAUGUUGCAUGACAUGGUGUGAAAAACUCCGGUGGUAUAAGAUGGACCCGCGUCUGAUUAGCUAGUUGGUGAGAUAACAGCCCACCAAGGCGACGAUCAGUAGCCGACCUGAGAGGGUGACCGGCCACAUUGGGACUGAGACACGGCCCAGACUCCUACGGGAGGCAGCAGUGGGGAAUAUUGCACAAUGGAGGAAACUCUGAUGCAGCGACGCCGCGUGAGUGAAGAAGUAAUUCGUUAUGUAAAGCUCUAUCAGCAGGGAAGAUAGUGACGGUACCUGACUAAGAAGCUCCGGCUAAAUACGUGCCAGCAGCCGCGGUAAUACGUAUGGAGCAAGCGUUAUCCGGAUUUACUGGGUGUAAAGGGAGUGUAGGUGG
rnacentral:rRNA from 1 species